rnacentral:rRNA from 1 species
CCUUUAAAGGGAGGAGCAGGCGCGCAAUUACCCAAUCCUGACUCAGGGAGGUAGUGACAAGAAAUAACAAUAAACCGGCUUAUGCCGGUUUAAUUGGAAUGAGUACAAUUUAAACAUCUUAACGAGGAACAAUUGGAGGGCAAGUCUGGUGCCAGCAGCCGCGGUAAUUCCAGCUCCAAUAGCGUAUACUAAAGUUGUUGCAGUUAAAAAGCUCGUAGUUGGAUUUCUGUGGGGACGGAGCGGCCGGCCGCACAUCGCGGUUCGAGCUAGCGCUUUCCCUACAUCCUGCCGCGAACCGUGCUACCAUUAAUUUGGUGGCGCUGGGGAUCGGCUCGAUUACUUUGAGAAAAAUAGAGUGUUCAAAGCAGGCCACAUGCCUUGAAUAAGUUAGCAUGGAAUAAUAACUAAGGACUUCGGUUCUAUUUUGUUGGUGUUCGGGACUGAAGUAAUGAUUGAUAGGGACAGUUGGGGCGGUCUGUAUUCCAAAGCGAGAGGUGAAAUUCUUAGACCUUCGGAAGACAAACAGCUGCGAAAGCGUUCCGCAAGGAUGUUCCCUUUGAUCAAGAACGAAAGUUGGGGGAUCGAAGACGAUCAGAUACCGUCGUAGUCUCAACUAUAAACUAUACCAGCUAGGGAUCGGCCAACGUUAUUUCAAACCGACUUGGUCGGCACCUUAUGAGAAAUCAAAGCAUCUGGGUUCCGGGGGGAGUAUGGUCGCAAGGCAGAAACUUAAAGGAAUUGACGGAAGGGCACCACCAGCCGUGGAGCCUGUGGCUUAAUUUGACUCAACACGGGAAAACUCACCAGGUCCAGACAUAGUAAGGAUUGACAGAUUGAUAGCUCUUUCUUGAUUCUGUGGGUGGUGGUGCAUGGCCGUUCUUAGUUGGUGGAGUGAUUUGUCUGGUUAAUUCCGUUAACGAACGAGACCCCAGCCUGCUAAAUAGCGUGGGUGAGCUUUGCUCGCUGCAAGCUUCUUAGAGGGACUAUGAUGCGCGAUAGCACAUGGAAGUUUGGGGCAAUAACAGGUCUGUGAUGCCCUUAGAUGUUCUGGGCCGCACACGGGCUACACUGGCGCCUGCAACGAGCAUAUCAGCUGGCCCGAGAGGGUCUUGGCUAAUCUUUUGAACCGGCGCCGUGCUUGGGAUUGACCUUUGCAAUUGUUGGUCAUGCAACGAGGAAUGCCUUGUAAACGCGAGUCAUCAGCUCGCAUUGAAUACGUCCCUGCCCUUUGUACACACCGCCCGUCGCUCCUACCGAUGAAUGUUCCGAUGAAAUUUUCGGAGAGCACCUGUGAACUUGGCUCCGCCUUGCGAACGGGAGGCUCAAAGUCACUAAAUCGAAACAUGAAG